CCUCGGAUGCAGCAGUGGGGAAUAUUGGACAAUGGGCGAAAGACUGAUCCAGCCAUGCCGCGUGUGUGAAGAAGGCCUUCGGGUUGUAAAGCACUUUCAGUGGGGAAGAAAGCCUUGGGGCUAAUACCCUCGAGGAAGGACAUCACCCACAGAAGAAGCACCGGCUAACUCCGUGCCAGCAGCCGCGGUAAUACGGAGGGUGCGAGCGUUAAUCGGAAUUACUGGGCGUAAAGCGCGCGUAGGCGGUCUGAUAAGCCGGUUGUGGAAGCCCCGGGCUCAACCUGGGAACGGCAUCCGGAACUGUCAGGCUAGAGUGCAGGAGAGGAAGGGAGAAUUCCCGGUGUAGCGGUGAAAUGCGUAGAGAUCGGGAGGAAUACCAGUGGCGAAGGCGGCCUUCUGGACUGACACUGACGCUGAGGUGCGAAAGCGUGGGUAGCAAACAGGAUUAGAUACCCUUGUAGUC
rnacentral:rRNA from 1 species